rnacentral:rRNA from 1 species
UACGUAGGGUGCGAGCGUUGUCCGGAAUUAUUGGGCGUAAAGAGCUUGUAGGUGGCUCGUUGCGUCGGGAGUGAAAACCUGCGGCUUAACCGCAGGCCUGCUUCCGAUACGGGCGAGCUAGAGUUCGGCAGGGGAGACUGGAAUUCCUGGUGUAGCGGUGGAAUGCGCAGAUAUCAGGAGGAACACCGGUGGCGAAGGCGGGUCUCUGGGCCGGUACCGACGCUGAGGAGCGAAAGCGUGGGGAGCGAACAGG